rnacentral:rRNA from 1 species
UACGUAUGGUGCAAGCGUUGUCCGGAAUCAUUGGGCGUAAAGAGUUCGUAGGUGGUUUGUUAAGUUAGGUGUUAAAGGCGUGGGCUCAACUCGUGUAUGGCACUUGAUACUGGCAGACUUGAAUGCGGUAGAGGUAAAGGGAAUUCCUGGUGUAGCGGUGAAAUGCGUAGAUAUCAGGAGGAACAUCGGUGGCGUAAGCGCUUUACUGGGCCGUAAUUGACACUGAGGAACGAAAGCCGGGGUAGCAAAU